GCCGCGGACCCUCGCGCUGCGACGGCUCCCAAGUCCGCGCUAUGGAAGAGGAGAAAUACUUGCCCGAGCUGAUGGCAGAGAAAGAUAGCCUGGAUCCAUCCUUUGUGCACGCCUCGCGCCUCUUGGCGGAAGAAAUUGAAAAAUUCCAAGGAUCAGAUGGGAAAAAGGAAGAUGAAGAAAAGAAAUAUCUUGAUGUCAUCAGCAACAAAAACAUAAAGCUCUCAGAAAGAGUAUUGAUUCCUGUCAAACAAUAUCCAAAGUUCAAUUUUGUGGGGAAAUUGCUUGGACCUAGAGGAAACUCCUUGAAGAGGCUACAGGAAGAAACAGGUGCUAAAAUGUCUAUCUUGGGCAAAGGAUCAAUGAGAGAUAAAGCCAAGGAAGAAGAACUCCGAAAGAGUGGAGAAGCGAAGUAUGCCCACUUAAGUGAUGAACUUCAUGUAUUAAUUGAAGUGUUUGCUCCACCUGGGGAAGCUUAUUCACGUAUGAGUCACGCAUUGGAAGAAAUUAAAAAAUUCCUGGUUCCUGACUACAAUGAUGAAAUCCGUCAGGAACAACUACGUGAAUUAUCUUACUUAAAUGGUUCAGAAGAUUCUGCCCGUGGCAGAGGUAUUCGAGGCAGAGGGAUCAGAAUAGCUCCCACAGCUCCUUCAAGGGGACGUGGAGGUGCCAUUCCUCCUCCACCACCACCUGGACGAGGUGUUCUCACCCCUCGAGGGACCACUGUGACCCGUGGAGCUCUUCCAGUGCCCCCUGUGGCAAGAGGUGUCCCAACCCCCCGAGCUCGGGGAGCACCAGCAGUGCCAGGAUACAGGGCUCCUCCUCCCCCAGCCCAUGAGGCUUAUGAAGAAUAUGGCUAUGAUGAUGGCUUUGGGGGAGAGUAUGAUGACCAGACCUAUGAGGCUUAUGAUAAUAGUUAUGCAACCCCAACACAAAGUGUGCCUGAAUACUAUGACUAUGGUCACGGAAUAAGUGAGGAUGCCUAUGACAGAUACGAUGGGAACAGAGUUCUCUACAUCCUGGUGAAAAGAAUAGGAUCAGCAACAGAAGAAUGGACCACAACCCGCUCCAGCCUGAAGGCACCAUCAUCAAGGUCAGCCAGAGGGGGAUACAGGGAGCACCCCUAUGGUAGAUAUUGAAGGUCUUCCUCACCUGUGACCUCACUCACCACAAAGACAAUUCAUAGCCUGUGGUCUCCAAACAAACAGCAGCAAGACAAGGGCCCACAAAGAAUUCAUAACUGAAUAGCGGAUGUAAUGGGCCCAGAAUGAUAGAGGCUAAAAAAGAAGUUAAUUUGGGCUGAAUUGUAAAAGAUGGCAUCAUAAAAGAUAUGAAAUUUGAAUAGAAGGGCCAGAUCUACAGAGAAAAGAGGCCUCUUUAGGCUUGAGCCUGGCUUUGGAUGAGCAGUUUCAGCAGACAACCAUACAGAUCUCUGUGGCUUGCCCUUCCCUCACCUUGGCUCUGUCUCCUCUGGCAUCCCUCCAGCCUAUCUUGAGAACAGUGCUGCACUGCCUGGAGGACUUAGGCAAAGCCUGCAGAGAUGCACCUGGGGUGGUUUUGGUAGGUGGAGAGGGGUUAUUCCCCCUUCUUCACAGUGUUCCAGAAGUUUCUUGCAAAGGAUGAAAAUGUGAACAUGUGGCUUCUGUCAAUGUUCCUCUGUAUAUAUAUAAAAAAAGGAGAUCUACAAGUAUGACGUUCCUAGGAAAUCCUUCAAAGAUUACCAGUUUUUUAUAUCUCGUGAAGACUUUCCUGAGUCACUAUUUUAGUAAUUUUCCUCCCCUUGUUUAUCUUCCUACUUUUCUACCAGUAAGUCUAGGAGCGGUACUUCUCUUAGUUGAUAAGUAUGAUUUAUCUGUUUCUGAAUUUGAAACAAAAACAGGAAAAAAGACAAACACUGAAAACUCAGUGGUGUAUUCUCUGCCUCAGUAAAUAGGUCACACUUUGUCAAAUUCUGAAUAUAUUAAGUGUUUGUGGAGUUCUGUUUAGGUUGCUGUACUGGAUAUCAAAGGGUAAUUUAUUUUGUCAGAAGUAGGCUUUUUGUUAAACUCAAAUUAUGCAUACUUUCUAAAAGAGAACUGAGAGAUAAAUUAAAAUACUUAAGGAAGGUGAUAUUGGUUUUCAUUUAUACUUAGGUAAUUUCACACUGUCCUUCCUGUGUGAAGAUGGUUACCAUGACCUGAGCUCCACAGGAUAUCUGCUUUGUUAAUUUUCUGUGACAGAAUGAAUUUGAGGUGAUCAAUCCUUGAAAAAAAAUGAGUAAAUGUCCUUUAAGAAAGUCAUUUUGUGCUGGAGAAAUGGCUUAGUGGUUAAGGUGCCUGCCUGUGCA